UAGGGAAUCUUCCACAAUGGACGCAAGUCUGAUGGAGCAACGCCGCGUGAGUGAAGAAGGUUUUCGGAUCGUAAAGCUCUGUUGUUGGUGAAGAAGGGUAGAGGCAGUAACUGGUCUUUAUUUGACGGUAAUCAACCAGAAAGUCACGGCUAACUACGUGCCAGCAGCCGCGGUAAUACGUAGGUGGCAAGCGUUGUCCGGAUUUAUUGGGCGUAAAGCGAGCGCAGGCGGAAUGAUAAGUCUGAUGUGAAAGCCCACGGCUCAACCGUGGAACUGCAUCGGAAACUGUCAUUCUUGAGUGCAGAAGAGGAGAGUGGAAUUCCAUGUGUAGCGGUGGAAUGCGUAGAUAUAUGGAAGAACACCAGUGGCGAAGGCGGCUCUCUGGUCUGCAACUGACGCUGAGGCUCGAAAGCAUGGGUAGCGAACAGG
rnacentral:rRNA from 1 species